UCCCUCUCCUUUCCCCACUUCUCUGUCGCCUCUCCUCCCGUGGCAUUCGGCCAGCCGCCGCCGCCGCCGCGCGACCUCUGCUCCUCCCCGGCUUCGAACUCAGGCCGCCGCUCCGUCCCCCGUCCCCGUCGCACCUCCCCUCGAGCCGCCGGCUGGCCCUCUCCCACUCGUCCUUCUCCCUGCUCCCAUUCUCCUCCCUCGCGGGAACCCUAGCCGCCGCCCUCUCCCACUCGUCCUCCUCCCCGCUCCCCUUCCUGGCGGCGCACCCGACCGCCGCGCGACCUCUGCUCCUCCCCGGCGUCGAACUCAGGCCGCCGCUCCGUCCCCCGUCCCCGUCGCACCUCCCCUCGAGAUGCCGGCUGGCGCUCUCCCUUCACCGGAGGAGUUGGGUGAGACCGUGAGGAGCGGAGGCGGUGGCUUGUUGCAGACGCUGUUGCGGCUCCCUUUUCUUCCUCGCCGUCUUCUUCGCCUCCCUCCUCUGACCCAGGUAAUGCGGCCAGCCCUCGUCAACCCCGGCUAGCGGAUUCAUUAGCCUUCUACUCCAAUCGCUACCCCGAGAUCCAUCGUCGUUGUGUUGUUGCCGGUGAGAGCUGGGAGGAAGAGAGGGAGGCAAAGGGAUGGAGAUAGACAUGGGAAGGAGAAAGGGUCUUUCUCUGUUGAUCUCCUUUUUGUGACGUAGUAUGGUUGGAAAUUUAUCCAUCCACCCGUGGUGAGAACUUGUUGUCGCUGGUGCUAAAAUGGUGUUGCUGCAGCAGACAAAUGCCAUGGAUCAAGUGCCAUUCAGAUGUUGCAGGAGUCAAGUGUGUGUAAACCGUAAAGAUUAGACCAAUGGAUAUCAAAGAAAAGGAGCUCGACCAGGUAUUUCACCAUCUUGUGCUACACCGUCAUGUAUGUUCACCACUAUGAUGUAUAUUUACUUUACAUUCGUCCAUGAUGAAUCUCAGCGGAUAUUUGGUAUGCACUUAUAUCUAACUCCAAACCAAUUUGUUUUGAUAUAAAGCUUUGAUGUUUAUUAGGUGAAGUUCUUGUUUGUUGGGUUGCUAACAAAUUGCAGCUGUGUGCUGCACCGCUGGUAUCUUUAAUUCCUUGCUCUAGCAUUGAUAUAAAGCUUUGAUAUUUAUUAGGUGAAGUUUACUCUGUAUGCACAAGAAGUGAACUGCGGUAUAAUUCUUAAACACUUCGUUUUAUCAUGUAUGCAGCAUUGAUAUGGCUAUGCAAUGUUAGCCCAAAAUAGGCAGCAGUGCAGUAUACUAAUGUGAAAUCUUAUCAUUCUGGGGCUGCACUUCCUGUGGUGUUUAGACUCUCAUUAUUUCCCCAUAUGUUACAUAUAUAUAAAUAUGCUAAACCAGACCUACCUAUAUACCAAUAGAAGUACACUCAUUGUGUGAGGAGCUCUGUAUAUUGCUCACUUGGAAAGUAUAGGAUACUUCUUUUUCCUACACUUAAUAUUUAUCCUUCUAGAUCCAGAGCAUUAUUAGGCAGUAAUCUUAAAACAUAGUUUCUAGAGUUAAUUUUGUAUUUCUUGGUAAUAACUUUAUAUUAGGCCUGCAAACUAACUACUAUUGCAACUAUGCAACAUCAGGAGCACACCCUAUCAGCUUAAAUCACAAGGCAUGGAAAGUUAGUGUGUUUCCCGGAAUAUUGUUGGUUUUGUUAAAUAGAUGGCCCUCUUAGCAUGGCUAUGGUUAGUACUCAAGACAGUCUUUCCCCUCAAGAGAUCAUGCAAGAGUUUAUUUUGAAAAAAUAUGAUGUCUUUCCCCUGAAGGAUUAUUAUGUCUUUCAAAUCGAUCAUGUUCUGGCUGUUAUGGCAUAUUACAGAUCAUACAUGGUCUCAUUUGCUGCAAGGAGCCUUAAUAAUGCCCUUGGUCAUAUGUUAAUAAAUUUAACAUGUAUUACAAAAAGAUAGCAUGUAGGUUGAUGAUAGUGUGUUUCAAAAUAGAUACUUAGAAUAAUAGUGUACCAUCAAAAUAAUAGCUUGGUCUUACACUUACCAGGUCACUUGGUCAAAAUCCAGUGUGUACAUCACUUUUUUGUUCUCAGUAAGUUUCUAGCAUUUCUACAUGCAUUUCUUUGUAGCCUAGGCAUAGUAAACCAUUGAUGCUAUUCCAAACACAAGCUCAAGCAAGUUCAGUAGAUUAUUAAUUUUUAUUAGUAUAAUCAGCAUGAGAUAGAGCUUGAUUUCAUCACUUGGUUUACUGUGUGCAUAUUUCCAUGCAGGUACCAUUCAUAUCCUAGAAGUUGUAGCUUCCAGCCUUUUAGUAACUACACAAAACUACCAAAGCUUCAGAGCCAUCAUAUUGGAGAGAUCCUUUUUAAACUCAACCUGUGUCAUAAGCUACUUGGUUCCUUCUCAUUACUUGGAGGAUGCAUGGAUUGGAGAGAUUAUGGAUGAGGACUGAAUUAUGUGUAUGCAUGAUAUCUUUUAAUUUUGGUCAUCUGUGUAGCUAUGAUAUCUUAGAAGAGUCCCAGUGUGUAUAUUUUGGUGAUCUGUAUCAUAAUAAGGAAGCAAAUUGAAUUAUACAGCGUCAAAGCCCAUCGUCUGCAAUGUUAUGCAGUUCCUUUUGAUGGAAAAUUUUAGUUUGUUGUGUAUUUCUAAUGGACGCGAUUAUGAAUGAGAACUGAAUAAUGUGUAUCUAUGAUGUUCUUAUUCCUGUGACUCAUCAUCUGGAGAUAAUUGUAAAUGAAUGAUUAAUCAUGGGUUUCUUUUGGUAA